rnacentral:rRNA from 1 species
AGUGAACGCUGGCGGUAGGCCUAACACAUGCAAGUCGAACGGCAGCACAGUAAGAGCUUGCUCUUACGGGUGGCGAGUGGCGGACGGGUGAGGAAUACAUCGGAAUCUACUUUUUCGUGGGGGAUAACGUAGGGAAACUUACGCUAAUACCGCAUACGACCUACGGGUGAAAGCAGGGGAUCUUCGGACCUUGCGCGAUUGAAUGAGCCGAUGUCGGAUUAGCUAGUUGGCGGGGUAAAGGCCCACCAAGGCGACGAUCCGUAGCUGGUCUGAGAGGAUGAUCAGCGACACUGGAACUGAGACACGGUCCAGACUCCUACGGGAGGCAGCAGUGGGGAAUAUUGGACAAUGGGCGCAAGCCUUAUCCAGCCAUACCGCGUGUGUGAAGAAGGCCUUCGGGUUGUAAAGCCCUUUUGUUGGGAAAGAAAAGCAGCAGGUUAAUACCCCGCUGUUCUGACGGUACCCAAAGAAUAAGCACCGGCUAACUUCGUG